rnacentral:rRNA from 1 species
CCUACGGGUGGCUGCAGUGGGGAAUAUUGGACAAUGGGCGAAAGCCUGAUCCAGCCAUGCCGCGUGUGUGAAGAAGACCUUCGGGUUGUAAAGCACUUUCAGUGGGGAAGAAAGCCUUGGGGCUAAUACCCUCGAGGAAGGACAUCACCCACAGAAGAAGCACCGGCUAACUCCGUGCCAGCAGCCGCGGUAAUACGGAGGGUGCGAGCGUUAAUCGGAAUUACUGGGCGUAAAGCGCGCGUAGGCGGUCUGAUAAGCCGGUUGUGAAAGCCCCGGGCUCAACCUGGGAACGGCAUCCGGAACUGUCAGGCUAGAGUGCAGGAGAGGAAGGUAGAAUUCCCGGUGUAGCGGUGAAAUGCGUAGAGAUCGGGAGGAAUACCAGUGGCGAAGGCGGCCUUCUGGACUGACACUGACGCUGAGGUGCGAAAGCGUGGGUAGCAAACAGGAUUAGAUACCCGGGUAGUC